rnacentral:rRNA from 1 species
AUGGUGGGCGUGGGCGCCGGAACGGGGGCGUUGGGCUCCGUCAUCGGCAAGUUGACCACCUUGCUCGGCGAUGAGUACACGAUGCUCAAGAGGGUGCGCAAGGACAUCGAGUUCCUAGAGCGCGAGCUCCGCUGGAUGCAAAUACUAGUGAAUUCACUGGCGAACAUGGAGGAGCUGGACGAGCUGGCCAAGAACUGGAAGAGCAGCAUGCGUGAUCUCAGCUACGACAUGGAAGAGUGCGUCGACCGCUUCAUGCUCCGCCUCGGCAACGGCGACGCCAGGCCCGGAUUUGCCAAGAGGACGCACUACCGGAAACUGGCCCUACCCCGACGGCCAAAUCAAUGCCGACGGCUGCCGUCGGCCUACUUUGCGCUAUGCCGACAGCCACGUCUUGGCCGUCGGCGUAUCUUGGCCGUAGGGCUACCACGAGCUAAGCCGACGGCACCCGUCGGCAUACAUAUGUCGUCGGCCCAGCUGCGAACAUGGCGACAGCAACUGUCGGCAUACCCAGGCCGUCGGCAUACCCGUGGGCCCGGCGACCCCGCCCGUGACCAGCGGCUAACGUCGUCAAAUCUAUGCCGACGGCCUGGACGGGCGGCCGUCGCCAUAUAUCGUCAUGCCACGUCACCGAUCCGCGGCGCACCGUCCACGAGCUAA